rnacentral:rRNA from 1 species
AUUGAACGCUGGCGGCAUGCUUUACACAUGCGAGUCGAACGGUAACAGGCCGCAAGGUGCUGACGAGUGGCGAACGGGUGAGUAAUGCAUCGGAACGUGCCCAGUCGUGGGGGAUAACUACUCGAAAGAGUAGCUAAUACCGCAUACGAUCUAUGGAUGAAGGCGGGGGACCGUAAGGCCUCGCGCGAUUGGAGCGGCCGAUGUCAGAUUAGGUAGUUGGUGGGGUAAAGGCUCACCAAGCCAACGAUCUGUAGCUGGUCUGAGAGGACAACCAGCCACACUGGGACUGAGACACGGCCCAGACUCCUACGGGAGGCAGCAGUGGGGAAUUUUGGACAAUGGGCGCAAGCCUGAUCCAGCAAUGCCGCGUGCAGGAAGAAGGCCUUCGGGUUGUAAACUGCUUUUGUACGGAACGAAACGGCUCUGGUUAAUACCCGGGGCUAAUGACGGUACCGUAAGAAUAAGCACCGGCUAACUACGUG